GCAACCGUUUGUUUCUAUGGUAAGAGUGGGUAAGAGCAGAGAGCACAUUUUGUGCACAUAGAGGCGCUGAUGGAUGGAAACACCUAUGCCUAGGACCGGUUGGUUGUUCCAAAACUUCUUUGUAAAUUUACCUACCAGGUAAGUUUACCAAGAAGUUGGAACAACCGACCCCUAAAACGACGGGAUGACUCUUAGGGUUUCUCUCUGGUAUUUCACAAAGUACGAACUUGACAAUCGAAGAUGAGAUCAGAUCAUUAGGUGAUGAUAUCCCGAAUUUAUUGCCAAUGUGUAAUAAGGGUAAUUUCGAGACGAGUCAUGUGACUGAGAUGGUUUAAUUCUCGCAGUUGUUGCAAUACAAAACUGAACUCGAUGUGGCUGAAUGGUUGAUGAUGAUAACUGGAACGCAGAACGAUACUCUGCAAGGACUUGGUUCUAAAAUCGCAUUUGCUUUGCAAAAGGGUGACUUCGAGUGCUGCAAGUUUCUAUAGAUUUUCGCUUGAACUUGACCCAAAUUUUGAGCCUGCUAUUACAAGGUUGCGAGUAAUACUAUGUUUUUUAUUAUUUGAUGAUAAAAAAUUCGCAAUGAGUGAGAUAUUGCGAAAUAUUUUAUAAUACGACUUUUUACAAACUGUUAAUGUGAAAUAAUUUGAUGACAGUGCCUUUUUAUGUUAAUACAUAAUAUUUAAAAAAUGUACGUAAGUAUUAAAAACAAGGAAGAAACAAUUAUGUAGCAACAUGACGCUACGUUAUUAUGUGUAUUACAAAAAAUUUUAAAUGAAGGGAAAAAAUAGUAAUGACAGAUAUUUAAUUGUUAAAUUAUUACAGAAUUUUAUGGACUGAUAAGAUACUUAUAUUUUCACAUCAAAUUUUUAAGUUUAAUAUUUCAGGAUACAAAACAAAUGAAAAAUGAGCACUUUUAGAUGUAUUGUUUAUCUGUUAUUGUAGAUAUUGUUUAUCUCAUAUGAAUGUGAUAACUUCUUGUGAUCAUGAAGCAAUAUAUUAUUAAAAUGUAAAAACCAUUAAAUAAAAAAUAAAUUUUGCAAUGAUUUGA